GAUGAACGCUGGCGGCGUGCCUAAUACAUGCAAGUCGAGCGAACAGAUGAGGAGCUUGCUCCUCUGACGUUAGCGGCCGACGGGUGAGUAACACGUGGAUAACCUACCUAUAAGACUGGGAUAACUUCGGGAAACCGGAGCUAAUACCGGAUAAUAUAUUGAACCGCAUGGUUCAAUAGUGAAAGACGGUUUUGCUGUCACUUAUAGAUGGAUCCGCGCCGCAUUAGCUAGUUGGUAAGGUAACGGCUUACCAAGGCGACGAUGCGUAGCCGACCUGAGAGGGUGAUCGGCCACACUGGAACUGAGACACGGUCCAGACUUCUACGGGAGGCAGCAGUAGGGAAUCUUCCGCAAUGGGCGAAAGCCUGACGGAGCAACGCCGCGUGAGUGAUGAAGGUCUUCGGAUCGUAAAACUCUGUUAUUAGGGAAGAACAAAUGUGUAAGUAACUAUGCACGUCUUGACGGUACCUAAUCAGAAAGCCACGGCUAACUACGUG
rnacentral:rRNA from 1 species